CCAACCAGUCUUCGGCCAGGCUACACACGUACUACAAUGGUAGGGACAGAGGGCUGCAAGCCGGCGACGGUAAGCCAAUCCCAGAAACCCUAUCUCAGUCCGGAUUGGAGUCUGCAACUCGACUCCAUGAAGUCGGAAUCGCUAGUAAUCGCAGAUCAGCAUUGCUGCGGUGAAUACGUUCCCGGGCCUUGUACACACCGCCCGUCACACCAUGGGAGUUUGUUGCACCAGAAGCAGGUAGCUUAACCUUCGGGAGGGCGCUUGCCACGGUGUGGCCGAUGACUGGGGUGAAGUCGUAACUAGGUAUCCGUAUCGGAAGGAGAAAAAAAAAAAAAUAAUG
rnacentral:rRNA from 1 species